rnacentral:rRNA from 1 species
GACGAACGCUGGCGGCGUGCUUAACACAUGCAAGUCGAACGGAAAGGCCCUGCUUUUGUGGGGUGCUCGAGUGGCGAACGGGUGAGUAACACGUGAGUAACCUGCCCUUGACUUUGGGAUAACUUCAGGAAACUGGGGCUAAUACCGGAUAGGAGCUCCUGCUGCAUGGUGGGGGUUGGAAAGUUUCGGCGGUUGGGGAUGGACUCGGGGCUUAUCAGCUUGUUGGUGGGGUAGUGGCUUACCAAGGCUUUGACGGGUAGCCGGCCUGAGAGGGUGACCGGCCACAUUGGGACUGAGAUACGGCCCAGACUCCUACGGGAGGCAGAAGUGGGGAAUAUUGCACAAUGGGCGGAAGCCUGAUGCAGCAACGCCGCGUGCGGGAUGACGGCCUUCGGGUUGUAAACCGCUUUCGCCUGUGACGAAGCGUGAGUGACGGUAAUGGGUAAAGAAGCACCGGCUAACUACGUG